GACGAACGCUGGCGGCGUGCUUAACACAUGCAAGUCGAACGGAAAGGCCUCUUUCGGGGGGUACUCGAGUGGCGAACGGGUGAGUAACACGUGAGUAACCUGCCCUUGACUUUGGGAUAACUUCAGGAAACUGGGGCUAAUACCGGAUAGGAGCUCCUGCUGCAUGGUGGGGGUUGGAAAGUUUCGGCGGUUGGGGAUGGACUCGCGGCUUAUCAGCUUGUUGGUGGGGUAGUGGCUUACCAAGGCUUUGACGGGUAGCCGGCCUGAGAGGGAGACCGGCCACAAUGGGACUGAGAUAAGGCCCAGACUUCUACGGGAGGCAGCAGUGGGGAAUAUUGCACAAUGGGUGGAAGCCUGAUGCAGCAACGCCGUGUGCGGGAUGACGGCCUUCGGGUUGUAAACCGCUUUCGCUCAUGACGAAGCUUUGUGUGACGGUAGUGGGUAAAGAAGCACCGGCUAACUACGUG
rnacentral:rRNA from 1 species